GGCUCCCCGACGGCUAGAGCUUCCUCUGAUGCCCGGGGGCCGACGCCUCCUUGGCUUUCCGGCGGCCGGUUACUUCUUCAUGGCGAGCGGCAGGUGCAGUGGCUUCCGCAGCAAGCGGUAACAGAAGAUGGCUCCAGGUCGGCGAUGACGAGUGGCAUGGGGUUGACGGCCGUGACAGAGUGGACGACAUGACCAUGUGCUCACCGGUGACGCAGGCAGCGGGAAGAGCCAUGGUUGCGGCGGCGCUUCGACGCUUUGACCGAGGGAGAUGCGGGAACAUAGCUGCCGUCGGAGGAGCACAAGUAUUUUCUCGACCACCUCUCUCUCGUGUGCUCUCUUUCUUAGCCGCUGGCGCCAAGAGGCAACAGCUCAAAGGCAGAAGCCCGUGAACUUUGAUCUCAAGUUCAUGGAUAUUCUUCAACUGAGCCACGGUAACAUGUUCCCUUGCUCUCUAGGGAUCUUGCGAUGGUGGACUCAUAGUGCAGCAAACGGUGUGCGUCAGUUCACGUUGGAGAGGAAGAUAUGGACCAAGUUGUGAGAGUUGCAAAAUCUGGAAAAGAUGAGGAGGCAAAUGAACAUCAUCACCAGCUAGGAGACGGUGAGCACCACAGGGCACGUACUUCAUGUUCUCUGAUGAGGAGAGUACCCUCGCUGUCAUCCAUCCACGGCUCCGCUCGCCGAUCAAUAAGGAAUGAUAGACAAUGAGUAGUGAAGAUAUGGUGUUACUGCAAUCAGGGUCACAUCAAAUCUUCCUAGCUGGCAAGCUAAAAGUACAGCGAUGAAGGAGCCUGUGUCAGCUAGCCGUAUUUCUGUGUAUAUAUGGAAUAUAGCGACAAAGUAGCUUCUGUUAGCUAGCCGUACUUCUAGGGCGAAUCCAGGGUCACACACACUUGGGGCACUAGCGUGGCAGUGAGUCCGACGACCACCGGCGCAGGAACUCUAGCUUCCAGGUGAACCAUUCCUCUCCCUGGCUUUUUUUUUUACUUCCCUUGAUCUGAUAAUUUAUCACAUAUUUUUUUCUUUUUUCAGUUCAGUCAAGUCAAGCCAUCACUGCUUUACCACAUUGCAUGGUGGGGGACUAGGUGUGUGGAAGUACUUACCGGUUGCCGCCCAUCAUGGAGGCGCUGGUCAAGGCCAAGGCAACAUGCUCCCUGCUAUUGGAGUCCAUGGUGCAGGUCUCCAAUGGUGCAUAUCCGUUCAGUGACAGACUUAUUCAACUUUCUCAAGCUAUUCCCACACUUUGAUUUCAUUCAGGUCAAUGCUCUCAUAUGAAUCUCUCAUAUCAGCCAAUUCGCAACAGUUGAGAUAUUUUAAUGACCAAUUGAUCAAGAAAGAAAUAAUUUCUAUCACAUUGCUAACUGAUGUCAAAUCUGCCACCAGAAAUGGAAUUUUGACACAGAUAGAUCAAAGGAAAUAUUCUGAAUUUUUGGCAAUCAGAAAGUUAUCAUGUUCAAAGAUACUUAAGGCUUUUGGACAAAAUGGAUACACAUCAGCAUCAACUUUCCACCCAAAUGGCAUUAUCCUUGGAAUAGACAAGCUUUAAGCUGUUGUUAAAAUUUGGGAUGUAAAAUGUCAGUAAAGGAGGUGAUCGAAGAUUUAGUUGAGUCAGAGAAUGAGAUUACGGAGGCUAGACCCACAAAGAGGAGGAGCUCGACUGGUCGGACCAAGAUGACACCACCAACGAAGAACCUCUGAGGGUACAGCCAGUGAUGCCGUCAUCCUCUCCUCCGAGGAUGAAGAUAACGCCAACGAGCGAUGGCAAAAGGCUAGAAUAAUCAGAGCACUUGCCUGAGGAUAGUGAUCUACCCUACUACUUAAAUUUAGUUUACUGAAUGUAUGACUUAAUCUAGCGUUGCAUGCUAUUAGUGUUUAGUGCCUAAUGAGGUAUGCAAUGCAAGCUUCACUUCUAAAUGUUUUUACACCGUUUUAACUUAAAAUAGGAGCAUAUUUCACUAUUCAUGUCAA